rnacentral:rRNA from 1 species
UACGUAGGGGGCAAGCGUUAUCCGGAAUUACUGGGUGUAAAGGGAGCGUAGACGGUAAUGUAAGUCUGGAGUGAAAGGCGGGGGCCCAACCCCCGGACUGCUCUGGAAACUAUGUUACUAGAGUGCAGGAGAGGUAAGCGGAAUUCCUAGUGUAGCGGUGAAAUGCGUAGAUAUUAGGAGGAACACCAGUGGCGAAGGCGGCUUACUGGACCGUAGCUGACGUUGAGGCUCGAAAGCGUGGGGAGCAAACAGG